GCGUCGGUGGUUCAGUGGUAGAACACUGGCCAGCGAAGCAAGUGGUGUGGGAUUCGACCUCCGGCAGACGCA
rnacentral:tRNA from 1 species